UGGGGAAUAUUGGACAAUGGGCGAAAGCCUGAUCCAGCCAUGCCGCGUGUGUGAAGAAGGUCUUCGGAUUGUAAAGCACUUUAAGUUGGGAGGAAGGGCAGUAAGCGAAUACCUUGCUGUUUUGACGUUACCGACAGAAUAAGCACCGGCUAACUCUGUGCCAGCAGCCGGGGUAAUACAGAGGGUGCAAGCGUUAAUCGGAAUUACUGGGCGUAAAGCGCGCGUAGGUGGUUCGUUAAGUUGAAUGUGAAAGCCCCGGGCUCAACCUGGGAACUGCAUCCAAAACUGGCGAGCUAGAGUAGGGCAGAGGGUGGUGGAAUUUCCUGUGUAGCGGUGAAAUGCGUAGAUAUAGGAAGGAACACCAGUGGCGAAGGCGACCACCUGGGCUCAUACUGACACUGAGGUGCGAAAGCGUGGGGAGCAAACAGG
rnacentral:rRNA from 1 species